CUUGAGUCUUGUAGAGGGGGGUAGAAUUCCAGGUGUAGCGGUGAAAUGCGUAGAGAUCUGGAGGAAUACCGGUGGCGAAGGCGGCCCCCUGGACAAAGACUGACGCUCAGGUGCGAAAGCGUGGGGAGCAAACAGGAUUAGAUACCCUGGUAGUCCACGCCGUAAACGAUGUCUACUUGGAGGUUGUGCCCUUGAGGCGUGGCUUCCGGAGCUAACGCGUUAAGUAGACCGCCUGGGGAGUACGGCCGCAAGGUUAAAACUCAAAUGAAUUGACGGGGGCCCGCACAAGCGGUGGAGCAUGUGGUUUAAUUCGAUGCAACGCGAAGAACCUUACCUGGUCUUGACAUCCACAGAAGAAUCCAGAGAUGGAUUUGUGCCUUCGGGAACUGUGAGACAGGUGCUGCAUGGCUGUCGUCAGCUCGUGUUGUGAAAUGUUGGGUUAAGUCCCGCAACGAGCGCAACCC
rnacentral:rRNA from 1 species